rnacentral:rRNA from 1 species
GAACGCUGGCGGCGUGCCUAAUACAUGCAAGUCGAACGCACUCUCGUUUAGAUUGAAGGAGCUUGCUCCUGAUUGAUAAACAUUUGAGUGAGUGGCGGACGGGUGAGUAACACGUGGGUAACCUGCCCUAAAGUGGGGGAUAACAUUUGGAAACAGAUGCUAAUACCGCAUAAAACCUAACACCGCAUGGUGUAGGGUUGAAAGAUGGUUUCGGCUAUCACUUUAGGAUGGACCCGCGGUGCAUUAGUUAGUUGGUGAGGUAAAGGCUCACCAAGACCGUGAUGCAUAGCCGACCUGAGAGGGUAAUCGGCCACACUGGGACUGAGACACGGCCCAGACUCCUACGGGAGGCAGCAGUAGGGAAUCUUCCACAAUGGACGAAAGUCUGAUGGAGCAACGCCGCGUGAGUGAAGAAGGUUUUCGGAUCGUAAAACUCUGUUGUUGGAGAAGAAUGUAUCUGAUAGUAACUGAUCAGGUAGUGACGGUAUCCAACCAGAAAGCCACGGCUAACUACGUGCCAGCAGCCGCGGUAAUACGUAGGUGGCAAGCGUUGUCCGGAUUUAUUGGGCGUAAAGCGAGCGCAGGCGGUUUCUUAAGUCUGAUGUGAAAGCCUUCGGCUCAACCGAAGAAGUGCAUCGGAAACUGGGAAACUUGAGUGCAGAAGAGGACAGUGGAACUCCAUGUGUAGCGGUGAAAUGCGUAGAUAUAUGGAAGAACACCAGUGGCGAAGGCGGCUGUCUGGUCUGUAACUGACGCUGAGGCUCGAAAGCAUGGGUAGCAAACAGGAUUAGAUACCCUGGUAGUCCAUGCCGUAAACGAUGAGUGCUAGGUGUUGGAGGGUUUCCGCCCUUCAGUGCCGCAGCUAACGCAUUAAGCACUCCGCCUGGGGAGUACGACCGCAAGGUUGAAACUCAAAGGAAUUGACGGGGGCCCGCACAAGCGGUGGAGCAUGUGGUUUAAUUCGAAGCAACGCGAAGAACCUUACCAGGUCUUGACAUCCUUUGACCACUCUAGAGAUAGAGCUUUCCCUUCGGGGACAAAGUGACAGGUGGUGCAUGGUUGUCGUCAGCUCGUGUCGUGAGAUGUUGGGUUAAGUCCCGCAACGAGCGCAACCCUUAUUGUUAGUUGCCAGCAUUCAGAUGGGCACUCUAGCGAGACUGCCGGUGACAAACCGGAGGAAGGCGGGGACGACGUCAGAUCAUCAUGCCCCUUAUGACCUGGGCUACACACGUGCUACAAUGGCGUAUACAACGAGUUGCCAACCUGUGAAGGUGAGCUAAUCUCUUAAAGUACGUCUCAGUUCGGACUGCAGUCUGCAACUCGACUGCACGAAGUCGGAAUCGCUAGUAAUCGCGGAUCAGCACGCCGCGGUGAAUACGUUCCCGGGUCUUGUACACACGGCCCGUCA